rnacentral:rRNA from 1 species
GAUGAACGCUGGCGGCGUGCCUAAUACAUGCAAGUCGAACGCUUCACUUCGGUGAAGAGUGGCGAACGGGUAAGUAAUACAUAAGUAACCUGGCAUCUACAGGGGGAUAACUGAUGGAAACGUCAGCUAAGACCGCAUAGGUGUAGAGAUCGCAUGAACUCUAUAUGAAAAGUGCUACGGGACUGGUAGAUGAUGGACUUAUGGCGCAUUAGCUUGUUGGUAGGGUAACGGCCUACCAAGGCGACGAUGCGUAGCCGACCUGAGAGGGUGACCGGCCACACUGGGACUGAGACACGGCCCAGACUCCUACGGGAGGCAGCAGUAGGGAAUUUUCGGCAAUGGGGGAAACCCUGACCGAGCAACGCCGCGUGAAGGAAGAAGUAAUUCGUUAUGUAAACUUCUGUCAUAGAGGAAGAACGGUGGAUAUAGGGAAUGAUAUCCAAGUGACGGUACUCUAUAAGAAAG